AAAUUUAUCAACAACUCCAAACUUCAAAACUACAUAUAUAUGCAGCGACCACUUUGAUGACAAAUUUUUUCAUUAUUCUGAUGAAUUAAGAAGCAGAAAACGACUACGACCAGAAGCUGUUCCUGAAAACAUAAAUUUACAUCAAUCUUAUUUGUUAACAGAGAAUGUUGCCAAAGAGGCAGUAACGGAUAGAGUAUUAGUUAGCAGUAUUAAUAAACCUGAAAAUAAUAUAUUAAAAGAGAAAAAUUUAGAAUUAAAUAAAGAUUGUGAUAAAGAGACUAAGAUAUGUGGAGAAAAAAUGCCUGUGAAUUGUUUUGAUAAAGGCUCUUUAAACGAGCAAAUUUGUUCACAUAAACUAAAUAAUAGUAGUGUAAGCAAUGACUCAAACAGUAAAAAAAGGAAAAAUGUAUUUACGCAGAACAAAGCUGUAAAAAGAGUUCGUUUUAUGAAUGGUUUUAAAACAGAAUAUAUAUUUCGAGAAGACUUCGUUUCUGAUGAAGCUUGGAAUCGAUUCUUAAGAUUCACAACUUAUAAAAAAUCGAAAAUGGCAGCUGCACAUAACAAAAACUCACGCAAAGGAAAAAAAAUAAAAAAUUUAAAAGUUUUGAUAAAAGAGAAGAAAAAAGAGAAGAAACACUCCUUGUGAAGUAAAAUUUACUUCCACUCAAGUUAAUGUUUUUCUGCAAAAUAACAAAUAUCAUAUCUUUGAACAUAAUUACAGUAAAAGUGAAAGUUGGUAUUCUCCUGAAUACGCAGAAGAAAUCAUUAAACAUACAGCUGGUUCAAUUUUUCAUAUUUUAAAACGUAAAAUUCACUGUAAAAAGUGCUGUGAACUAUUACCUACUAUUAGAUGGAGCCAAUAGUACUUUUAAAUCUAAAUUAACAAUUUUAAAAAAUCGUGGAGGCUUGAAUUUUGUAUCUGAUGAUGUGAAUUUCAUUUGCAAAUGUAUAGAAAAAAUCAUAAGUACGUUAAUGUAAAAAUUUAUUAGCUAAAAACAUAAAUACAGUAUUAAUUACUAAAACAUUUGAAAUUUUUCCAAGUACAAUUUUUGAUAAUAAUAAACAUUAUCUCGAGCAAGACCUUUUUAUAGACCACCGUAAUCAAUUAAUUUUACUUAUAAUACAAAACCAUAUAGAUAUUCGUUUAAAACACGGAUGUACAUAUUAUAUUGUUUGUACUAAAAUUUUUGUGUCAAAUAAUAAAAGACUGAUUUAUUUAA